rnacentral:rRNA from 1 species
CAAAACGACUCUCGGCAACGGAUAUCUCGGCUCUCGCAUCGAUGAAGAACGUAGCGAAAUGCGAUACUUGGUGUGAAUGGCAGAAUCCCGUGAACCAUCGAGUCUUUGAACGCAAGUUGCGCCCGAAGCCGUCACGCCGAGGGCACGCCUGCCUGGGCGUCGC